rnacentral:lncRNA from 1 species
CGGCUAUCGAAGUUGGAUCCGAUGAGCUUGUCAUUGUCCAACAGCGAAUGGAGGAAUAGUGUGUUGGCUAUAACUGGAAGGAAAAAAUAUUAGCCUAUUAGUAUAUGAAUUAUUUUUUAAUUUUGAAAAUAUGAAUUUUAGUCUAAAGGUCCUCCCACCAUUUUUUGUGAAUUGGUAACCUCUACCUCUAACUCGAAGAAUUACAUUAAUUCUUUAGCGGGUACUAGAAUCCACACGAACUGUAUCCGGAUCCAAGUGUGGCUCAGCCAACCCUAGUGUAUCCAUGGGUAGGUUCGUAACCAAUUGUUUCUCCAAAUAACUUCUAGCAUUGGGUUUUGCCCCAGACCUUCCUUCAGCAGGCGUGUGGCGUCUCCACUGAAAAUCCUGGUUAGGUCCAACCAUUAACAUGACACAUCAAGUACAUCCAACAAACAGAUGUCCAGACCCGAGUGUGGCUCGACCAAUCUGGCAUUGAUCUGAAGGUACAUUAUGAUGGUCAUAUGAUAAAUGACAAUUCUAAUAUAUAAUAGACACCAGGCGUGUGGUACCUCCAAUGCCUAUUUGGAAUAUUAGACUCAUUAUCACACACCUUAAUGGGAGGUAAUGACCAAGUUAUCUCAUAACUUUAUCACUUUAUGGACCUAAUAAUUUAGAGAAUUUGAUUUCAUUGACCUGAGAAU